rnacentral:lncRNA from 1 species
UCCUUUACAACAACAUGUUUGGCAUCCGAAGACACAAUAGGUUUGGGAAAACAUCGGGGUGCAUCAUAUCUAAUGAAAACAAUAACAUAAAAUACUCAAAAAUAGUUAAGACUAAAAACAAAGAGCUGGAAAAUAAAAAACAAAGAGCAUCCGAAAAUGCAUUUCCAAAUGAAUUCAUACAAAAUCCAGAAAUACAUUUUCGGACUCAACAUACAUUUUUUUCAGUUUCAAAACAGGAUUGAUUUGAGCAUGAGGCUUGAAAUAAAUGAUCUUUUUCU